rnacentral:rRNA from 1 species
UCCGUAGGGACCGAGCGUUGUCCGGAAUCAUUGGGCGUAAAGAGCGUGUAGGCGGCCAGGUAGGUCGGUUGUGAAAACUGGAGGCUCAACCUUCAGAGGUCGACCGAAACCAUCUGGCUAGAGUCCGGGAGAGGAGAGUGGAAUUCCUGGUGUAGCGGUGAAAUGCGCAGAUAUCAGGAAGAACACCGAUGGCGAAGGCAGAUCUCUGGGCCGUAACUGACGCUGAGGAGCGAAAGCGUGGGGAGCGAACAGG